rnacentral:rRNA from 1 species
UGGUAAUGCCGGAUGCUCCGACUCCUCGCAUGGGGUGUCGGGAAAGAUUUCAUCGGUAUGGGAUGGGGUCGCGUCCUAUCAGGUAGUCGGCGGGGUAACGGCCCACCGAGCCUACGACGGGUAGCCGGCCUGAGAGGGCGACCGGCCACAUUGGGACUGAGAUACGGCCCAGACUCCUACGGGAGGCAGCAGUGGGGAAUAUUGCACAAUGGGCGCAAGCCUGAUGCAGCGACGCCGCGUGCGGGAUGACGGCCUUCGGGUUGUAAACCGCUUUUGAUCGGGAGCAAGCCUUCGGGUGAGUGUACCUUUCGAAUAAGCACCGGCUAACUACGUGCCAGCAGCCGCGGUAAUACGUAGGGUGCAAGCGUUAUCCGGAAUUAUUGGGCGUAAAGGGCUCGUAGGCGGUUCGUCGCGUCCGGUGUGAAAGUCCAUCGCUUAACGGUGGAUCUGCGCCGGGUACGGGCGGGCUGGAGUGCGGUAGGGGAGACUGGAAUUCCCGGUGUAACGGUGGAAUGUGUAGAA